rnacentral:pre_miRNA from 1 species
AGGAGCAACAGCCCCAGUGGCGGGGCCGCUCUGGAAACCUGCAUUCAGCCCCCGCAGGAACUCCGGAGCUCUCGGUCUGCAGGGCCUGGAGGCUCCGGGGCGGG